CUCCUUCACCGUCCAGUGCAAGAGGCCAGACGUUUAUGUAAAGUGGCUCAUACUUUAAGAGAGGAACAAAAAAAAGUGUUAGAAAAGUUAAAAGGAGCAGGAGUUACGGUCAGUUGAAUGAAAUCAGGAAAAGCUUUUUGGAGGAGAAAGUAUUUGAGUUGCGUCUUAGAAGCUGGCUUAUCUUCAGGCAGGUAAAGGGAACCACGUGGGCAGGGGCUUGGAGGCAGGAAACAGCAGGCUCUGUAGGGAAACAGGUGGAGUAUUUUGACUCGACUGAAUCAAAGGUCUGUAAGGAAGAAGAUGGGAAACAGGGACAGAUGUGAGGGAGCUUGAAAGUCAGACGGAUGGCUGUUUUCUAGGAAGUAGGAAAUGGACCCGGCAGGAGUUCACAGACCUGGAGCGGGCGGACACCAAAGGCAGGCAGAACUUUUCAGAGGUGGUUGCAAUGGUCCAAACGUGAGGACAGCAGCGCCAGGAACGGAGAGACCCUGCAGGUACAGAAUCCGCAAGUCUUGUCCGAAUAGCAUAAAAGGUCCGGGACUCCACAAACCGAGCAUCUAACUCAUGUACCAUCUGGUUUUGGAAGAAAGACCUAUAGAAGAAUGCAGGGGCUUUCAGGCUGAACAUUUCUCAUCUUCCUCCUGAUCUCACUCCAGACCGUUCCAUUCACACUAAGAGAUGAGACCACUUCAGCCCAGAAAGGUCAGCAUCCCUGGUCUACGGUGUGCCUCCCACCCGCCACAAACCUCCACCCGGUCUCUCUGCUUAGCUGUCCAGCCUCUUCCCCUCUCCUGUCUCAGCCACCAGUUCCCGUGGAGCUGGGGUUUCUUGUGUUCUCUGAGCCUGUCGUGACCCAGAGGGCAUUCACUGGCCUCCUUGGAUCAACCCCACGAGCUGUGAGUGGGCUUCGGGGAGAACGAGCGCCCUGCGAGGAUGCGUGUGGAGUUUGUAUGAUGUGCUUAUGUGAAUCUGUCUGGGUAAGAGUCCAAAGUCUUCAUCAGCUCCUCAAAGAAUUCCAUGGUGAUCCCCCUCC